GUCCCCUUAGCUCAGCUGGAUAGAGCGUUUGCCUCCGGAGCAAAAGGCCGCAGGUUCGAAUCCUGUAGGGGGCACCA
rnacentral:tRNA from 1 species